rnacentral:misc_RNA from 1 species
UCUCCGUUGGUGAACCAGGGGAGGGAUCAUUACAGGACUCGCAAGACUCCUACAACCCUGUGAACUUAACUAUAAGCACGUUGCUUCGGCGGGUGUCUCGGAGGGGGUUCUCCCUCCCCGAGACGCUAAACCCGCCGGCAGCCUACUAUACUCUGUCUCUUUGCGUUGGCAUCUCGAGUACAAUCAAACAAGUUAAAACUUUCAACAACGGAUCUCUUGGUUCUG